rnacentral:rRNA from 1 species
CAGUAGCCGCGGUAAUACGUAGGGUGCAAGCGUUGUCCGGAAUUAUUGGGCGUAAAGAGCUCGUAGGCGGUUUGUCGCGUCUGCUGUGAAAUCCCGAGGCUCAACCUCGGGCUUGCAGUGGGUACGGGCAGACUAGAGUGCGGUAGGGGAGAUUGGAAUUCCUGGUGUAGCGGUGGAAUGCGCAGAUAUCAGGAGGAACACCGAUGGCGAAGGCAGAUCUCUGGGCCGUAACUGACGCUGAGGAGCGAAAGCGUGGGGAGCGAACAGGAUUAGAUACCCCGGUAGUCCCUGUCUCUUUACA